AGAGUUUGAUCCUGGCUGAGAUUGAACGCUGGCGGCAAGCCUAACACAUGCAAGUCGAACGGUAACAAAAAAGAGUUUACUCUUUAGGUGACGAGUGGCGGACGGGUGAGUAAUAUCUGGGGAUCUGCCCGAUGGAGGGGGAUAACCAUUGGAAACGAUGGCUAAUACCGCAUAAAGUUGUAAAACCAAAGUGGGGGACCUUAGGGCCUCAUACCAUCGGAUGAACCCAGACGGGAUUAGCUAGUAGGUGUGGUAAUGGCUCACCUAGGCAACGAUCCCUAGCUGGUCUGAGAGGAUGGCCAGCCACACUGGAACUGAGAUACGGUCCAGACUCCUACGGGAGGCAGCAGUGGGGAAUAUUGCACAAUGGGCGAAAGCCUGAUGCAGCUAUGCCGCGUGUAUGAAGAAGGCCUUAGGGUUGUAAAGUACUUUCAGUAGGGAAGAAGGCAAUAUAGCUAAAAUCUAUAUUGAUUGACGUUACCUACAAAAGAAGCACCGGCUAACUCCGUGCCAGCAGCCGCGGUAAUACGGAGGGUGCGAGCGUUAAUCGGAAUUACUGGGCGUAAAGAGCACGUAGGUGGUUUAUUAAGUCAGAUGUGAAAUCCCUGGGCUUAACCUAGGAACUGCAUUUGAAACUGAUAAACUUGAGUUUCAUAGAGGAGAGCAGAAUUCCAGGUGUAGCGGUGAAAUGCGUAGAGAUCUGGAGGAAUAUCAGUGGCGAAGGCGGCUCUCUGGAUGAAAACUGACACUCA
rnacentral:rRNA from 1 species